rnacentral:rRNA from 1 species
UGGGGAAUAUUGCACAAUGGGCGAAAGCCUGAUGCAGCAACGCCGCGUGCGCGAUGAAGGCCUUCGGGUUGUAAAGCGCUUUUUGAGAGGAUGAGGAAGGACAGUACUCUUAGAAUAAGCCUCGGCUAACUACGUGCCAGCAGCCGCGGUAAAACGUAGGAGGCGAGCGUUAUCCGGAUUUACUGGGCGUAAAGCGUGUGUAGGCGGUUUGAUAAGUUGGAUGUGAAAGCUCCUGGCUUAACUGGGAGAGGUCGUUCAAAACUAUCAGACUUGAGAGUGGUAGAGGGAGGUGGAAUUCCGCAUGUAGUGGUGAAAUGCGUAGAUAUGCGGAGGAACACCAGUGGCGAAAGCGGCCUCCUGGCCCAUUUCUGACGCUCAGACACGAAAGCUAAGGUAGCAAACG